ensembl:lncRNA
CCCAAAAGCCUACAGUCUGGAAAAAAGAGGGUUUGGAUGGAGGAGAGUGACUCAUCCUCACAGAAGAGUGACAGCUCAGUGAUUCAGCCAGUCCAUUUGAGUCAUGGGCCUGCAGGCAAAAGGAAUCAGGCAGACUCAUCAACACCAGAUCAUCUUUCAGUGAAGAGUGAAAGCUCAAUGAUUCAGCCAGUAGUUUUCAGUCAAGGAGAACAGUCUCAACAGUCAAGGGUUCAGAUGGACUCAUCAGUACCAGAUCAUCUUUCAAUGAAGAGCGAAGGCUCAAUGAUUCAACCAAUAGUUUUCCGUCAAGGAGAGCAGUCGAAACAGGUUCAUAUGGACUCAUUAACACCAGACCAUCUUUCAAUGAAGAGCGAAGGCUCAAUGAUUCAGCCAAUAGUUUUCAGUCAAGGAGAACAGUCUAAAGAUACAGUGUACCAACCAGAGCACAAUAGACCUUGCUCUAGUGCUGCUGGAAUUACGGAGCCUGGUCACAUGGAGCUAAGUCUCUGCCAAAAACAUAACAGAGAUCUGGCUAUGUUGUGCAUAAGUGAUAAGAAUCCUAUUUGCAAGGAGUGUGCAGUGAAGGAUCACAGAGAUCAUGAAAAACAGUACUUAAAGGUAAAUGUUAUACAAGUUCUUAUAUUACUUCUUGAUUCUAAUAAAAGUUAAUUUAGCAUUAGUAGGGCUGGGCAAUAAAACAAUAACGAUAAUUAUCACAGUAUAACAACUUAUUCGAUAGAAAUAUAAGAAAUGGUCAGUAUUAUAGACCAUUCUUACUCUAAAUGAGUGAAAUGAGUCACCAAAUAUACUUUAGCAACGUCUGAUAUAUAUGUUUUAUAUUCCCUGUUUGAGUGGAGCGAUUGGUUAUCUGUUCUCCUGUGGCCAAGUGUGACAAGUAGCGCAACUAGACAGUAACUGUACUGUCUUAGAGUGAACUCACCUCUUUACUUACAUCCUAACGAGCUUUAGCAGCGUUAAAUCAUGUCUGCUCCACACAACUACAGCGCUGUGUUACAAUAUUUUCAUAUUUUAGUAUUAGUGCAUUCCCAAGCAACACAAGUGAAAGAAUGAAGUGGGUUCAUGCAAGUUACAGCCGUGAUUUUAACGAAAGUAAACCGAAGAUGCUGUAUGUGAGGCAUUGGAGAGUGGGAGAACGCUAGUUUUCCAGGCUAGCUGUUUUUCUGGCUAACUUGAAGCAGCACUGUCACUUGCACAGCAUGGUGAAUUGAUGAUACUGUAGAUCAAACGAGACAAAAACGGUAAUUUUAGUUUAAAUGUACCUAAAAGGAGGACUCUGUUUGUCUAGUGUGAGAGAUUUGGCAAGUGUUUGUGAUGUUCCAACCAUAAAGGAUAGUUUAAAACAACCACUCAGGAGCUCAGGAGCAAAAAUCAGCCUUCAAACUUGAAAUGAAUUAAAAAUUUGACAUUUGUUGCAAUAUGUAUCAAUAUCAAUAUCACCUUUUGAACGGGUGGGGAGGAAAGACGCUGGGGGCAGGGGUGAAGGCAGAGAGCAGAUUUAUUCUUUUAAACCCAACUUAAAUGGCUUUUAGGCCUGUCACAUUAACGUCUCGCGGACUCGUUCAGUUUGGCUCCCUUUCGCGCCUUUGCCAGGUUCUCCUUCUCUCUCGAAGCUCUGCCGCCUACUGAAGGGAGAGAUGACUAUAAGUAGGCUGGCAGAAACAAGGCACAGGUGAGCAUCGUCAGCUACUUAACCCGCUGGUUCAACCGGACCGGCCUCUCCGUCCCGCAUUCAAUGCUCGGCCAUGCCCCCUUCUCCACAAUCAACUAAUAUAACUGAAUAUCAUAAUAUAACUGAAUUUUUUUUUUACCGUGAUAACAUUUUUGGUCAUAUUGUCCAGCUCUUAGUAUUAGUAAUGCAUGUAAUUUCAUAGCUAAUAGUUCCAGUGGAUAGAUUCCGUUUAUCUUACAAAAUAGUGCAAUAGAUGAAAAUAAAUGUACUAAUUUAAUUCUGUAAAUAGGCAAGUUGUGAAAACAUAUCUAAUAAAACCUAGA